rnacentral:rRNA from 1 species
CCUACGGGAGGCUGCAGUGGGGAAUAUUGGACAAUGGGGGGAACCCUGAUCCAGCCAUGCCGCGUGUGUGAAGAAGGCCCUCGGGUUGUAAAGCACUUUCAGUGAGGAAGAACGCCUGGUGGUUAAUACCCAUCAGGAAAGACAUCACUCACAGAAGAAGCACCGGCUAACUCCGUGCCAGCAGCCGCGGUAAUACGGAGGGUGCGAGCGUUAAUCGGAAUUACUGGGCGUAAAGCGCGCGUAGGUGGCUUGAUAAGCCGGUUGUGAAAGCCCCGGGCUCAACCUGGGAACGGCAUCCGGAACUGUCAAGCUAGAGUGCAGGAGAGGAAGGUAGAAUUCCCGGUGUAGAGGUGAAAUGCGUAGAGAUCGGGAGGAAGACCAGUGGCGAAGGCGGCCUUCUGGACUGACACUGACGCUGAGGUGCGAAAGCGUGGGUAGCAAACAGGAUUAGAUACCCUAGUAGUC